GGAGGUAGAGCUCAGUGGCAGAGUGCCUGCUUAGCAUGCAUGAGGUCCUGGGCUCAAUCCCCAGUACCUCCA
rnacentral:tRNA from 1 species